GACGAACGCUGGCGGCGUGCUUAACACAUGCAAGUCGAACGGAGAUUCAGCAAUGGAUCUUAGUGGCGAACGGGUGAGUAACGCGUAGGCAAUCUGCCUUCUAGAUGGGGACAACAUCCCGAAAGGGGUGCUAAUACCGAAUGUUGUACCGUUUCCGCAUGGAGAUGAUACUAAAGGUGGCCUCUGAAUAUGCUACCGCUAGAAGAUGAGCCUGCGUCUGAUUAGCUAGUUGGAGGGGUAACGGCCCACCAAGGCUUCGAUCAGUAGCCGGUCUGAGAGGAGGAACGGCCACACUGGGACUGGGACACGGCCCAGACUCCUACGGGAGGCAGCAGUGGGGAAUCUUCCGCAAUGGACGAAAGUCUGACGGAGCAACGCCGCGUGAGUGAAGAAGGUUUUCGGAUCGUAAAGCUCUUUCGUUAGGGACGAACGUGCUCUUUGUGAAUAAUGAGGAGUAAUGACGGUACCUAAAUAAGAAGCCACGGCUAACUACGUGCCAGCCGCCGCAGUAA
rnacentral:rRNA from 1 species